rnacentral:rRNA from 1 species
AUUGAACGCUGGCGGAAUGCUUUACACAUGCAAGUCGAACGGCAGCACGGGUGCUUGCACCUGGUGGCGAGUGGCGAACGGGUGAGUAACAUAUCGGAACGUAUCCAAUAAUGGGGGAUAACUAAUCGAAAGGUUGGCUAAUACCGCAUACGCCCUACGGGGGAAAGCUAGGGACCUUCGGGCCUGGCGUUAAUAGAGCGGCCGAUAUCUGAUUAGCUAGUUGGUGAGGUAAAGGCUCACCAAGGCGACGAUCCGUAGCUGGUCUGAGAGGACGACCAGCCACACUGGAACUGAGACACGGUCCAGACUCCUACGGGUGGCAG